rnacentral:tRNA from 1 species
GGCACGUAGCGCAGCCUGGUAGCGCACCGUCAUGGGGUGUCGGGGGUCGGAGGUUCAAAUCCUCUCGUGGCCA